GCAAGAUUCUCAUUGGAUGGGGUGGGAGCCAAUGGGAGGGCCUAGCAGGCAGACCGCCUCGAAUUAAUUAGUUUGGGGGGCAGGAGGGGUGCUGAGGGGCAAGGAGGCGUGGCUUGGGGCGCAGAGUGGGCUCCGCUGUCUGGUUGUCGCGCGUUCGGCGGUAAACAACCCUCUGCAAAUAGCUGUUAAUGUCUGGUUCACUAGUUCCCACCGCACCCGGCGAGCCAAGAGUCUCGGGAGAAAGUGUGGGCAACCCCUGGAAACGUGUUAACGACCAGGGCCCUCAGACCUGCCGCCCACCGCGCUGCAGGCACUCGCGAGCCUGCUCCAGCCCUGAUAAAAGCCCGCAAGUUUGGGGCACACAAAUAACAGCGAGGUUUUGAAAAUGAGCCUCCUCUUUCAUCAGGGUGCGUUUUUAGUCCACGAAACGUAGGUUGGCUAAAGAGGGUGGUUCUGGCUGUUUGAUUAAUGCUGACUAUGAAAGCACAAAUUUGGGGGCCUGCAAAGUAUACAGCCAUGUUGGAAAAAAAAAUCGGACUCGAUUCUUACUCAAAAACAGCAGUGUUGAGCUGUGGUGAUCUUUUCCCGUGGGAGAGGCUUUGAAAGGCGCCUUUAAGAGAAUUUCAGAAUAAUAUUGUUUCCCUUUGCUUGAUCAAGAGCGAAAAACUUUAGAAAAAGAAAAGCUCAUACCUAGAACAAAGGAUCAUACUUAACACAUAUCCUAGAAUAUAUUUAGCAUUCCUCACGUCAAGAAAGGAAGCUUUUUGCUGAAUCUCAGUGUACAGCUUGACACCUCAAAAAUAAGAACUACUGCCUCCUCUGUUUCUGGACAAACUGCUGGAAUGUGGAGUGUGCUAGGAGCAGCCGUGAUUUCUGAAAGGGACUGGAAGUAGAAGGAGAGUGGAUGCUGACAGAACUCUGACUGGAGCUGCUACCCACGUUUCGGCUGCUUGGUCACAUUAUGUAGAAGAUUCCCUACUCUUAUAACCAAAAUGAUAAUUAAUAAAAACAUUUGAGAUUUUUAUGAUAGGUGUUAUAAUAUUUCAUAAGCCUUUACAAGCACCGGUUUUGCUUUAGAUAGACGUAUUUUGAAAACAAAGCCAUGCAUUUGAAAGUGCUUUGAGUAAAAAACAAAUGACAUUUUAAAAUGUAUUGAAAAACAUUAAACUGCAUGUUGAAUAUUUGGAAAAUACUGAGAAUAGUAGAUUUAAAAAUCCUCAUCUCUUUAUAGAAUUUUAUCGUAGAGUGGUAUGCUUACAAUGUAUAUAAUAUUUUAUCUUUUUUUCACUUAACAUUACAUGAUAACAUUUGCCCAUAUGAUUAUAGAUUAGCCUAAACAUCAUUUAAAAUGCAGUAAAAUAUUCUAGGCAGUUGUAUAUUAAUGUACUUAAUCAUCACUCUGAGGUAUUUAGAUUGUUUUCAUUUUUUUCCAA